rnacentral:rRNA from 1 species
AUUGAACGCUGUCGGCAGGCCUAACACAUGCAAGUCGAUCGGAUUAAGUGAGCUUGCUCCUGGAUUCAGCGGCGGACGGGUGAGUAAUGCCUAGGAAUCUUCCUGGUAGUGGGGGAUAACGUCCGUAAACGGGCGCUAAUACCUCAUACGUCCUGAGGGAGAAAGUGGGGGAUCUUCGGACCUCACGCUAUCAGAUGAGCCUAGGUCGGAUUAGCUAGUUGGUGGGGUAAAGGCCUACCAAGGCGACGAUCCGUAACUGGUCUGAGAGGAUGAUCAGUCACACGGGAACUGAGACAAGGUCCAGACUACUAAGGGAGGGAGCAGUGGGGAAUAUUGGACCAAGGGCGAAAGCCUGAAACAGGCAUGCCGAGUGUGUCAAGAAGGUGUUCGGAUUGUAAAGCACUUUAAGUUGGGAGGAAGGGCAGUAAGUUAAUACCUUGCUGUUUUGACGUUACCAACAGAAUAAGCACCGGAUAACUUCGUG